UACAGAGGGGGCAAGCGUUAUUCGGAAUUAUUGGGCGUAAAGGGCGCGUAGGCGGCUUUUCAAGUGACGGGUGAAAUCCCUCGGCUUAACCGAGGAACUGCCUGUCAGACUGGAAGGCUUGAGACCGGGAGAGGUGAGUGGAAUUCCCAGUGUAGCGGUGAAAUGCGUAGAUAUCUGGAGGAACACCGGUGGCGAAGGCGGCAUCCUGGACCGACACUGACGCUGAGGCGCGAAAGCUAGGGUAGCAAACGGG
rnacentral:rRNA from 1 species